GCGCUGGCGGCGUGCUUACACAUGCAAGUCGAACGAUGAUGCCCAGCUUGCUGGGUGGAUUAGUGGCGAACGGGUGAGUAACACGUGAGUAACCUGCCCCUGACUCUGGGAUAAGCGUUGGAAACGACGUCUAAUACUGGAUAUGAUCACUGGCCGCAUGGUCUGGUGGUGGAAAGAUUUUUUGGUUGGGGAUGGACUCGCGGCCUAUCAGCUUGUUGGUGAGGUAAUGGCUCACCAAGGCGACGACGGGUAGCCGGCCUGAGAGGGUGACCGGCCACACUGGGACUGAGACACGGCCCAGACUCCUACGGGAGGCAGCAGUGGGGAAUAUUGCACAAUGGGCGAAAGCCUGAUGCAGCAACGCCGCGUGAGGGAUGACGGCCUUCGGGUUGUAAACCUCUUUUAGUAGGGAAGAAGCGAAAGUGACGGUACCUGCAGAAAAAGCACCGGCUAACUACGUGCCAGCAGCCGCGGUAAUACGUAGGGUGCAAGCGUUGUCCGGAAUUAUUGGGCGUAAAGAGCUCGUAGGCGGUUUGUCGCGUCUGCUGUGAAAUCCCGAGGCUCAACCUCGGGCUUGCAGUGGGUACGGGCAGACUAGAGUGCGGUAGGGGAGAUUGUAAUUCCUGGUGUAUCGGUGGAAAGCGCAGAUAUCAGGAGGAAAACCGAUGGCGAAAAGCGG
rnacentral:rRNA from 1 species